CCUGCCGCCUUGGUAGCGCCGGUCCGCACUCGGCCUGACCCGGGACGUCACGGCGCCUGCCUGUGUUCCCAAUGAUAACUUGGCAGGAGCAGGGGGAAGCGGCCGGGUUUUUCCUGGGCUCGUUACCGGGUUUUUUUUCCUCAACGACAAAAACCCCACAACAGGUAUGUAUUUAUGAUCAGUGUCAAGAUAGCAAUGCCAUGUGUACUCCACUAAAAAUAAACAAUUUAACCAGUAUAUACUCUAAAUACCUUUUCAACUGCCUUAAAGUGGACACUAGGUUCUUUACUAGAGAAAAUAUCAGCUUCUCCAUUGUAAAUAUUUUGAGUGGGUUGUUAUAAACAAAAGGAAAACAAAUCCCAAAGCUCUCCUCUGUUCUCUUAAACACCCAUGAUCCAUUUGACUGCAUUCCAUGCAUAGCAAUAGCACCCAUUCUAACUCAGCAAUAUUAAUUCCUGAACGAGGAACCUUACAGACUCACACAGAAGGUUUUGCAGAACAACUGGGGCUUCAGGAGGCACCUUAAGAACAGAGAGCUAAUUUAUAGUUUGCUUACAGAGAUCUGAAUAAGGAAGAACCUAUUCAGAUCUGAAACCCAGGCAGCUACUCUGCUCUAAAUCAGAUGUACUGCUGGUAUUCAGGAAAGUUACUGAAUUGAUAAUGAGUACAUACAGCCUUUUUUGUGACUUUGUGCCAAGCACAAAUUUUGUCAAAUGUCAUUCAGUGUCAUCCCAUGCCACAGACCUCCAUGGAAGAGAGACAACUCUCUGACAUGAAUUCAAACUCCUAAACAACUGUUUGUUGAAUUUUUUUUCAGCAUUUUUUCCUUUUUGUUUUUUUUUUUUUUGGGGGGGUGGGGGGAAAUGAAAAACCAAAAACUAUAUGCGAAGGAAAUUAUGUAAGCUCAGCUGGUAAAACAGCAAAUUUUUUUGAAAGAAGCAUAAAUAUAAAAGCCACAUCCUAUAAAUUGCUGACCUUUAAACAUUGACAUGGAAAAAGCCAUUAAAAUCCAUGAAGAUAACAAAACCCAACUCCUACUUCAUGUGAAAGACUGUAAUGUGGCAAGGCAGAGGGUACCCAGAGGUCUUCCCUUACACCGAUUAAGUAGACCCAGCACUCUGUGUAAUAGGCAGUGAUGCCAACAUAGGAUUCUCAUUCCUAAGCUCAGUUUAUGAUUACGAGCAUGGCUUUGCUCUCCUGUGCUUGCCUUGGUUGAGGAUAUAGAGAAUAGAUUACAUAUGCAACUCCAUCAUGCCAAACCUGCUUAUUUAAGUAAGAAACGUUCUUGCAAGAAAAUAAACAUUGACUAAAGAAGGUAGAACAUGGAUAAACAGAAAACAAAAAAUCAAGUUCUUGGAUUCUGUGGCGCUGGGUAACUUUGACCAUGGUCCUGAUAUUAAGGCUCAAACUAAACUCAGAUUGAAGGCAGUUAGAGUUUUAGACCAUAUAUGAGCGUGCCUGAUCUGAAAUCCCUCUUGCAUAAAAAAUUAGAUUAGAUUAGUUUAUGCUCUGGUUCCGCUGAGAGAUCUCUGAGUGUUGGAGCCACCUGCACUGGUGGGGUGUCCUGGCUCUCCCCCACUUCUGUCAUUACAGGGGAAUUACUCAUCUAGUGAGGAAGGUGUCUAAGUCUCCGAGAUGAUGGCACAACACACGCAAGAGGAAAUCGCAGUGCACAGCCAAUGCAAUGAAAUGAAGGAUCCUCUAUGGGAGUUGGUUAGUGGUGCCAAUGUUUGAUAUUUGUCGUAACAACCACUGACUGUUUUGUUUUUUGUUCUAACAAUGUGAAUUAUGCAUUAAACAUUAAUACAAGUGAGUGUA